rnacentral:pre_miRNA from 1 species
GAUUUAUGACGUCGUUGCCUUUUUAUCUAACGUUUGACCAUUCGUCUUAUUCAAAAAAUUUAUAUAAUUAUCAUUUAUUUUAUUGUGACUUGAUUCAUCAUCAAAUGUUCUUUAAGUAUGACAUAAAUAUUUUCAUAUUUACACAAAAGAUUUGAAUAAAACGAAUGGUCAAACGUUGAUUAAAAAGUCAACGGUGUCAUACAUU